UACGGAGGGUGCGAGCGUUGUCCGGAUUUAUUGGGUUUAAAGGGUGCGUAGGCGGUCUGGUAAGUCGGCGAUGAAAGCCGGGGCUCAACCCCGGAACUGGUCGUCGAUACUGUCGGACUUGAAUAGAGUGGAGGCUGGCGGAAUGGGCGGUGUAGGCGGUGAAAUGCAUAGAUACCGUCCAGAACCCGAUUGCGAAGGCAG
rnacentral:rRNA from 1 species